CCUACGGGAGGCAGCAGUGGGGAAUAUUGGACAAUGGGCGAAAGCCUGAUCCAGCAAUGCCGCGUGUGUGAAGAAGGCCUUCGGGUUGUAAAGCACUUUAAGUUGGGAAGAAAAAGCUCUGGCUAAUAUCUAGAGCCUUGACGGUACCAACAGAAUAAGCACCGGCUAACUCUGUGCCAGCAGCCGCGGUAAUACAGAGGGUGCUAGCGUUAAUCGGAUUUACUGGGCGUAAAGCGUGCGUAGGCGGUUUGAUAAGUCGAUUGUGAAAGCCCCGGGCUUAACCUGGGAAUUGCAGUUGAUACUGUCAGACUAGAAAACGGUAGAGGGAGGCGGAACUCCAGGUGUAGCGGUGAAAUGCGUAGAUAUCUGGAAGAACACCGAUGGCGAAGGCAACCUCCUGGGCCUGUUUUGACGCUGAGGCACGAAAGCGUGGGUAGCAAACAGGAUUAGAUACCCUGGUAGUCCACGCCGUAAACGAUGAGAACUUGACGUUGGUUUGCUUAGCAAAUCGGUGUCGUAGCUAACGCGAUAAGUUCUCCGCCUGGGGAGUACGGCCGCAAGGUUGAAACUCAAAGAGUAGUACGCGNGNGAGAGCGACGACGACGACGACGGAGGAGG
rnacentral:rRNA from 1 species